GACGAACGCUGGCGGCGUGCUUAACACAUGCAAGUCGAACGGAAAGGCCCUGCUUUUGUGGGGUGCUCGAGUGGCGAACGGGUGAGUAACACGUGAGUAACCUGCCCUUGACUUUGGGAUAACUUCAGGAAACUGGGGCUAAUACCGGAUAGGAGCUCCUGCUGCAUGGUGGGGGUUGGAAAGUUUCGGCGGUUGGGGAUGGACUCGCGGCUUAUCAGCUUGUUGGUGGGGUAGUGGCUUACCAAGGCUUUGACGGGUAGCCGGCCUGAGAGGGUGACCGGCCACAUUGGGACUGAGAUACGGCCCAGACUCCUCCGGGAGGCAGCGGUGGGGAAUAUUGCACAAUGGGCGGAAGCCUGAUGCAGCAACGCCGCGUGCGGGAUAACGGCCUUCGGGUUGUAAACCGCUUUCGCCUGUGACGAAGCGUGAGUGACGGUAAUGGGUAAAGAAGCACCGGCUAACUACGUG
rnacentral:rRNA from 1 species